AAAGCUCGUAGUUGGAUUUCGGUUAAGAGCGACCGGUCCGCCGUUUGGUGUGCACUGGUUGGUUUUAACUUCCUGUAGAGGACGUGCUCUGGGUUUAACGACCUGGACUCGGAGUCUACGUGGUUACUUUGAAAAAAUUAGAGUGUUCAAAGCGGGCUUACGCUUGAAUAUUUCAGCAUGGAAUAACACUAUAGGACUCCUGUCCUAUUUCGUUGGUCUCGGGACGGGAGUAAUGAUUAAGAGGAACAGUUGGGGACAUUCGUAUUUCAUUGUCAGAGGUGAAAUUCUUGGAUUUAUGAAAGACGAACUUCUGCGAAAGCAUUUGCCAAGGAUGUUUUCAUUAAUCAAGAACGAAAGUUGGGGGCUCGAAGAUGAUUAGAUACCAUCCUAGUCUCAACCAUAAACGAUGCCGACUAGGGAUUGGCGGAUGUUAAUUGAUGACUCCGCCAGCACCUUAUGAGAAAUCAAAGUUUUUGGGUUCCGGGGGGAGUAUGGUCGCAAGGCUGAAACUUAAAGGAAUUGACGGAAGG
rnacentral:rRNA from 1 species